AGAAUGAUACAAUGCUUAUAAAUUAUUUGUAAACAUACCAACGUUUCGCGUAGUAAUCUCAGACAAUACUGCAUAACGUUAUGCAGUGUAAAAAUUUUUGUCAACAAACGCACGUUGAGAACAACCAGUGACUGUCCAUCUUCGACAUACGUAAGAUGAAUGUCAAGAAACUGAUUAACAUUAACUGACAAGAGGAGACAAUGAGAGCCCAACAUCAUUCUUCAUCUCUGGUGAAGGGGAGAGUUGGUAAAUUUGUGUGCACGGCUAAAUUUAAGCAAAAUAAAGAAAAAGACGGAUGCUAUAAAAAUGCAGUGUUGGCUUCCCAGUUCAGCACUUUUAAAGAGGGACAAACAUUGCACGUUUGCAACUUCUAAAUGGAAGCAGGGCAUCUGAAAUAUGCUGGAAUCCUCAUCUUAAUGGCCUUAACGCCAUUUUCAAGAAUAUCCUGCUGAAAAAGACAGUUUUCAUUGGUAUAAUGGAUGCAAGACAACACUAGUGAAUUGAAAUUGCUGUUCCACAAAUGGCACACUCCAGGAUUACACGCUUUCCAAAAACACCAUUACAGCAUGCAGCCAUAAAGGGAUUCUUUGAAAGUCUAUGUUCUGUAAUGGUGGAAGUUCUCUUGAAGAUUCCAUUAGUAUUAAAAUAAAAACUUAAAAGUUAAAAGUUCAAAUGUCUUCAAUACUAGAGACCUGUGAUUUGACAGUACAACAUGGAGCAAUUGUAAAGGACACAUAAUUCGUACAUUAUUGAAUAUCAAUAUAUAGUUAUCCAUAAAUUACUGGGCUUUUACAUUGUAUUUUAAUUCUCAACAUUUGCAUAUAUGUUUAAUCUUUGUAAAAUAUGUUUGGUAUACAGUACAGUAAGUAAAUACAUUCUUUCUAAGUUUUAAACAUUUGUCAACAAUAUAUAUGAACUGCAAUCUGUGGAUCAAUUAGAGGUCUGCAAUUCUCCACAAAUAAAAUGACUUUGAAAUCACCCUGUUACUGUUAAACUUGAGAAUAUAUUAAGAAAACAUCUAAAAAUCUUUGUUAAAUACCUUUUUUUACAAUACAUUGUCCAGAUAUUUUGUGUAUUAUUCUAUGAAGCUGAUUUCUCAAUGGCUAUUGCUUCUCAGGUAAGCAAAGUGAC